UAAAAACAAGGAAAGCAAGAACCAUGAUGAAUCUCCAUUGGGUAGGGUUCCAGGUUGGAAGGUGGGAAACUGUGGCCUAUCACAGAAGUACCCUCUUCUUAUUAGUCCUGGGUAAGGAGGUGGCACUGACCUGGUCCUGAAGGAUGAAUAGGAGUUUGUCAGGGAGCUCCUGGUUCCUCUGAUUCCUCCUCCUAAGAACGCAUAGACCAGACUGGUUUCUAGGUUUCCUAGAAGUCCAGAACAAGGCCACCCCUGAAACAGCUGUGUCUCAGAGAAUAAAAAAUCAUUCAAACUAAAUAGAAGACAAGAACCAUUCAUUACCCAGAACCGUUC
rnacentral:lncRNA from 10 species